rnacentral:rRNA from 1 species
ACGCAGGGAAACUUGCGCUAAUACCGUAUGUGCUCUUGCGAGGAAAGAUUUAUCGCCUUUAGACGGGCCCGCGUCGGAUUAGCUAGUUGGUGGGGUAACGGCCUACCAAGGCAACGAUCCGUAGCUGAUCUGAGAGGAUGAUCAGCCACACUGGAACUGAGACACGGUCCAGACUCCUACGGGAGGCAGCAGUGGGGAAUCUUGGACAAUGGGCGCAAGCCUGAUCCAGCCAUGCCGCGUGAGUGAAGAAGGCCUUCGGGUUGUAAAGCUCUUUUGUCAGGGACGAUAAUGACGGUACCUGAAGAAUAAGCCCCGGCAAACUUCGUGCCAGCAGCCGCGGUAAUACGAAGGGGGCUAGCGUUGUUCGGAUUUACUGGGGCGUAAAGCGCACGUAGGCGGAAGUUAAGUGAGAGG